AGAGUUUGAUCAUGGCUCAGGACGAACGCUGGCGGCGUGCUUAACACAUGCAAGUCAAGGGGGCCCGCAAGGGUAACCGGCGAACGGGUGCGUAACACGUGAGCGACCUGCCGAUCUGCGGGGGAUAGCCGGCCCAACGGCCGGGUAAUACCGCAUACGCUCUCCCUGGGGCAUCCUGGGGUGAGGAAACUUCCGGGGCGGAUCGAGGGGCUCGCGGCCUAUCAGCUAGUUGGCGAGGUAACGGCUCACCAAGGCGACGACGGGUAGCUGGUCUGAGAGGAUGGCCAGCCACAUUGGGACUGAGAAACGGCCCAGACUCCUACGGGGGGCAGCAGUGGGGAAUAUUGCGCAAUGGCCGCAAGGCUGACGCAGCGACGCCGCGUGUGGGAGGACGCCUUUCGGGGUGUAAACCACUGUUGCCCGGGACGAACACCUGGCUUUCGCCAGGCUGACGGUACCGGGUGAGGAAGCACCGGCUAACUCCGUGCCAGCAGCCGCGGUAAUACGGAGGGUGCGAGCGUUGUCCGGAAUCACUGGGCGUAAAGGGCGCGCAGGCGGUCGGGCAAGCGUGCGGUGAAAGCUCGGGGCUCAACCCCGAGUCGGCCGUGCGAACUGCUGGACUGGAGCCUGUCAGAGGCGGGUGGAAUUCCGGGUGUAGCGGUGGAAUGCAGAGAUCCGGAAGAACACCGGUGGCGAAGGCGGCCCGCUGGGACAGAGCUGACGCUGAGGCGCGACAGCGUGGGGAGCAAACAGGAUUAGAUACCCUAGUAGUCC
rnacentral:rRNA from 1 species